AACGAACGCUGGCGGCAGGCCUAACACAUGCAAGUCGAGCGCCCUUUCGGUGGGGCGUCGGUCGGGCGAGUAACGCGUGGGAAUAUGCUCUUCUCUACGUAAUAGUCUCGUUUUACUUAGAGUAUUACGGUAUACGCCCUAUGCUGGUACGACUUACCGGGUAAGGAUUAGCGCGCGUUGUAUUCGGUCGUUGCUAGAUUAAUUGCGUACCAAUCCGACGAUCCAUAGCUGGUUUGAGAGGAUGAUCAGCCACACUGGGACUGAGACACGGCCCAGAAUCCUACGGGAGGGAGCAGUGGGGAAUCUUAGACAAUGGGGGCAACGCAGAAGUAGCCAGGCCGCGUGAGUGAUGAAGGUCUUAAGGAAGAAAAGCACUUUCAGAUGGGAAGAUAAUGACGGUACCAAAAGAAGAAGCCCCGGCUAACUCCGUG
rnacentral:rRNA from 1 species